rnacentral:rRNA from 1 species
GUAGGGAAUAUUGGGCAAUGGAGGCAACUCUGACCCAGCCAUGCCGCGUGCAGGAUGAAGGCCCUCUGGGUUGUAAACUGCUUUUAUCUGGGAAGAAACCUUUGGAUUCAUCUGAAGCUGACGGUACCAGAGGAAUAAGCACCGGCUAACUCCGUGCCAGCAGCCGCGGUAAUACGGAGGGUGCAAGCGUUAUCCGGAUUUACUGGGUUUAAAGGGUGCGCAGGCGGACUGUUAAGUAAGUGGUGAAAGCCCCGAGCUCAACCUGGGAAUUGCCAUUGAUACUGGCGGUCUUGAGUACAGUAGAGGUAGGCGGAAUGCAACAUGUAGCGGUGAAAUGCUUAGAUAUGUUGCAGAACACCGAUUGCGAAGGCAGCUUGCUAUGCUGUUACUGACGCUCAGGCACGAAAGCGUGGGGAUCAAACAGGAUUAGAAACCCCUGUAGUCC